UUCCUAUUUCAUGCUUUGAUUGUUUUCAUUGGAUUUAAUGCAGGUGGAUAUACCCGAGCAUCUUUCUGCACACUGUUUUAAAACAUGGAUGAAGUGGGUUUGCUCCAAGUGGCAGUUAUGACUCCAAAAUUUGGAAUCAGUUACUGACGAACCAGCAGCAUGACCACAACACCUUCAGGCCAAAUUCAACAUGCCGCUUGGAGUUCACAAAUACUGGCAUUAUGUGCUCGUACAAUUUAUAUGCAAAAUUUUACUAAAUGAAAUUUGAAGGCAUUUCGAAUCUUUGGUAUCUUAAUACAGAUACGACUGUAUUCCUUGUAAAGUAUCGGUUGGUGCUGAGGCCUUCUGGCACACUGCUUUUGCUGAUCCAUGGGAGUCCCUGCUUCAAUUUGAAGCAUCUUUGGUAUUGCUGUCCCGGUACUCACUGAUCAUUAAGGCGUAGAUGUUGCUGUGGCAUUUGAUGGGUUUGGAGCGGCAUAUUUAGAUCUUAUCUUUUGAAUGUUUGUGGUGAUUAAUCAUUCAGGUAUCAGUGUUCCCACUUCGCGGGUAUGAACAGUUGGAGGUUCAAGUGAAUGAAGACUCAUCACUCUGCAAGAGCAACGGAUAACGGUAUGAAGGUGGAAGUUGUUCUACAAACAUACACAGCUUGUUCCUUCAUAAUGCAGUUGGUCUUUACCCACCUGUAUGAUUGUUUACAUCGUAUCGAUAUUGUUAUGCUUCUUAGCCUUUGACUAAAAUGGGUCCUAUGAGGGGGUUGGUUGAUUCUGAUGUCAGCUCUAAGAAUUGAUUGUCUACUUUGUCGUUUCCUGAUGUCUGAAGUGAUUUGGACAACUUAUAUGGUAACACCUUUUUUCUGUCAUUGUCAUGCCUGACCUAUAAAUGAUUUUAAAUGUGAUGGGAAGGGACGAAUUGUUGAAGAUUGAGAU